rnacentral:rRNA from 1 species
AUUGAACGUCGGCGGAAUGCUUUACACAUGCAAGUCGAACGGUAGAGGGGGCAACCCCUCGAGAGUGGCGAACGGGCGAGUAAUAUAUCGGAAAGUGCCCAGUCGUGGGGGAUAACGUAGUGAAAGUGAUGCUACUAUCGCAUACGAUCUAAGGAUGAAAGCGGGCGUUCGUAAGACCUCGCGAGAUUGGCUCGGCCGAUAUAGUAGUAGGUAGUUGGUGGGGUAAAGGCUCACCAAGCCAACGAUCUGUAGAUGUUCUGAGAGGACGACCAGCCACACUGGAACUGAGACACGGUCCAGACUCCUACGGGAGGCAGCAGUGGGGAAUUUUGGACAAUGGACGCAAGUCUGAUCCAGCCAUUCCGCGUGCAGGAUGAAGGCCCUCGGGUUGUAAACUGCUUUUGUACGGAACGAAAAGGUCUCUCUUAAUACGGGGGGCUCAUGACGGUACCGUAAGAAUAAGCACCGGCUAACUACGUGCCAGCCGCCGCCGUAA